GAGUCGCAAGACCGCGAGGUUUAGCAAAUCUCUUAAGGCCGUUCUCAGUUCGGAUUGUAGGCUGCAACUCGCCUACAUGAAGUCGGAAUCGCUAGUAAUCGCGGAUCAGCAUGCCGCGGUGAAUACGUUCCCGGGCCUUGUACACACCGCCCGUCACACCAUGGGAGUCGAUAACGCCCGAAGUCAGUGACCCAACCGAGAGGAGGGAGCUGCCGAAGGCGGGAUGGAUAACUGGGGUGAAGUCGUAACAAGGUAAC
rnacentral:rRNA from 1 species